UUUGAGAGGGUGCUCUUCUGGAAAAGUUUCUAGUUCUGUGGGCUCGGACUCCCUCUCCACCUCUGCACCUUCUCCUCAGUGAACCCACUUUGACUGCUAUUUCUAGUGCCACACAUAGUGAGAGGUCUGACCACCUGUUCCUGAUAAGACAGCUAAUAGAGACGGGUCUUUUAGGAUAGGAGGAAGUGGGCACCAACUGGCCAAAGUUGCCUGCAGUAUCUUGGCCAGAGGAGUCUGUAGAGAAGUUUCAGCAGCUCUCUCUGGCCACCCAGUUCCCAUUGCCUUCACUGCCAAACCACAGGAACAUACUGCAGGUCUCUCAAUGACCACUGAGGGGACGCACGAGUCUACAUUACCAACUGUACACAUGAAUCCCAGCCAAACACUAUUGUAUUAACAGCAACAAGUGAUGCAUAUUUGAACAAAAGAAUGAAUGUUUACUCCUACAAUAUAUAUGAUUUUAAAAAUAUUUUAAAGUCUUAUUUAUUGUUAGUUGCAAGGAGAAUAUUUGCUGCUUAAGAAUGCUAAAUUGAUAAGAUUGUUACUGACAGUUUAUAAACCUUUAAAUCACAUUUUGUGGGGACAUUUUAGCAGGGCUUUGCCAGUGUUCACUUAUACUGCCUCACAGUAGAACGGGAUAAAGAGCGUUCACUGUGCUAUUUAUUUGUUUUAAGUGUGUGUAAAUGUUUUUCUGUUUGUUUGUUGGUGAGUAUGUCU
ensembl:lncRNA